UCAGCGCGCGCGCCCAGCUGAUCAAUGCCUGCGAGGCCCGGCAGUCCCAGGCUCGCCCAGGCCCGGCCGCCGGCCCGCGCGCACCUGCAGACGCUGCACGUCUUAAGUUUCGAAACGGCCCCCCUCUCCGCCCUGGGGGAGCCGGGAGGAUGUGCAGCCCCAGUCCUCCUGCUCGGCGGAGCCUCGCGCGCGCAGAGCCUAGCGCGAUUCGCGCCCUCAUUACUACUACAAAGCGCGGGCCAGACCAAUCCCCUUUCUAAUGCACCAUUUUCGACUGAGAACAUCAAGAGGCCAGAAACUUCCAAGUCAGCUUGCAGACGCAGACGCCUCCUGGGGUCCUGGCUUUAAGAACCAGAUGCCAACACUCCCGGACAGUUUAUGGCAUCCGGAUCCCUCAAGGGUGCUCAUCUGCAGUUGAGAGUGUUAGUAGCAAUUAUUUAUCUGUCCUGGAGAGGAGUUCCUGAACAUAAAUGUCCUCUGCUGGCCCUAAAGCUGGGGGCGGAGGCUGUGUGUUGUGGGGUGGGGGUUGGG
rnacentral:lncRNA from 10 species